AGAGUUUGAUCAUGGCUCAGGACGAACGCUGGCGGCGUGCUUAACACAUGCAAGUCAAGGGGGCCCAGCAAUGGGCAACCGGCGAACGGGUGCGUAACACGUGAGCAACCUACCGAACUGUGGGGGAUAGCCGGCCUAACGGCCGAGUAAUACCGCAUACGCUUUCGAUGAGGCAUUUCAUUGAAAGGAAACCUACGGGACAGAUCGAGGGGCUCGCGGCCUAUCAGCUAGUUGGCGAGGUAAUGGCUCACCAAGGCUACGACGGGUAGCUGGUCUGAGAGGAUGGCCAGCCACAUUGGGACUGAGAUACGGCCCAGACUCCUACGGGAGGCAGCAGUGGGGAAUCUUGCGCAAUGGCCUAACGGCUGACGCAGCGACGCCGCGUGUGGGAUGAAGCUCUUCGGAGUGUAAACCACUGUUGCCCGGGACGAAUAGCUCGAUUAAUCGAGCCUGACGGUACCGGGUGAGGAAGCACCGGCUAACUCCGUGCCAGCAGCCGCGGUAAUACGGGGGGUGCGAGCGUUGUCCGGAAUCACUGGGCGUAAAGGGCGCGUAGGUGGUUUGAUAAGGGUGUGGUGAAAGUCCGGGGCUCAACCCCGGAUCUGCCGUGCCGACUGUCAAACUCGAGGGCUGUAGAGGCAGACGGAAUUCCGGGUGUAGCGGUGGAAUGCGUAGAGAUCCGGAGGAAGACCGGUGGCGAAGGCGGUCUGCUGGGCAGUUUCUGACACUGAUGCGCGACAGCGUGGGGAGCAAACAGGAUUAGAUACCCUAGUAGUCC
rnacentral:rRNA from 1 species